CACGUAGGCGGCUAGGUCCGUCCGAUGUGAAAGCCCCCGGCUCAACCGGGGAAUUGCAUCGGAUACAGCCUGGCUUGAGGACGGUUGGGGUGAGUGGAACUCCUGGUGGAGCGGUGAAAUGCGUAGAUAUCAGGAGGAACACCGGUGGCGAAAGCGGCUCACUGGACCGUUUCUGACGCUGAGGUGCGAAAGCUAGGGGAGCAAACGGGAUUAGAUACCCCGGUAGUCCUAGCCGUAAACGAUGGGCACUGGGUAGGGGGGAAGCCUAUGCUCUUCCCUGCCGAAGCAAAUGUAUUAAGUGCCCCGCCUGGGGAGUACGCUCGCAAGGGUAAA
rnacentral:rRNA from 1 species